rnacentral:rRNA from 1 species
GUGAACGCUGGCGGUAGGCCUAACACCUGCCAGUCGCACGGCAGCACAGUAAGAGCUUGCUCUUACGGGUGGCGAGUGGCGGACGGGUGAGGAAUACAUCGGAAUCUACUUUUUCGUGGGGGAUAACGUAGGGAAACUUACGCUAAUACCGCAUACGACCUACGGGUGAAAGCAGGGGAUCUUCGGACCUUGCGCGAUUGAAUGAGCCGAUGUCGGAUUAGCUAGUUGGCGGGGUAAAGGCCCACCAAGGCGACGAUCCGUAGCUGGUCUGAGAGGAUGAUCGGCCACACUGGAACUGAGACACGGUCCAGACUCCUACGGGAGGCAGCAGUGGGGAAUAUUGGACAAUGGGCGCAAGCCUGAUCCAGCCAUACCGCGUGGGUGAAGAAGGCCUUCGGGUUGUAAAGCCCUUUUGUUGGGAAAGAAAAGCAGCAGGUUAAUACCCCGCUGUUCUGACGGUACCCAAAGAAUAAGCACCGGCUAACUUCGUG